CACGUAGGGUGCGAGCGUUGUCCGGAAUUACUGGGCGUAAAGAGUUCGUAGGCGGUUUGUCGCGUCGUUCGUGAAAACUUGGGGCUUAACUCCAAGCGUGCGGGCGAUACGGGCAGACUUGAGUACUACAGGGGAGACUGGAAUUCCUGGUGUAGCGGUGAAAUGCGCAGAUAUCAGGAGGAACACCGGUGGCGAAGGCGGGUCUCUGGGUAGUAACUGACGCUGAGGAACGAAAGCGUGGGUAGCGA
rnacentral:rRNA from 1 species